UACAGAGGUCCCAAGCGUUGUUCGGAUUCAUUGGGCGUAAAGGGUGCGUAGGCGGCGCGGUAAGUCGGGUGUGAAAUUUCGGAGCUUAACUCCGAAACUGCAUUCGAUACUGCGGUGCUUGAGGACUGGAGAGGAGACUGGAAUUUAUGGUGUAGCAGUGAAAUGCGUAGAGAUCAUAAGGAAGACCAGUGGCGAAGGCGGGUCUCUGGACAGUUCCUGACACUGAGGCACGAAGGCCAGGGGAGCAAACGGG
rnacentral:rRNA from 1 species